rnacentral:rRNA from 1 species
UGCAUGGACGACGUCUGACGGAGCAACGCCGCGUGAGUGAAGAAGGUUUUCGGAUCGUAAAACUCUGUUGUUAGGGAAGAACAAGUCAGGUAGUAACUGACCUGACCUUGACGGUACCUAACCAGAAAGCCACGGCUAACUACGUGCCAGCAGCCGCGGUAAUACGUAGGUGGCAAGCGUUGUCCGGAUUUAUUGGGCGUAAAGCGCUCGCAGGCGGUCUUUUAAGUCUGAUGUGAAAGCCCACGGCUUAACCGUGGAGGGUCAUUGGAAACUGGAGGACUUGAGUGCAGAAGAGGAGAGUGGAAUUCCAUGUGUAGCGGUGAAAUGCGUAGAGAUAUGGAGGAACACCAGUGGCGAAGGCGACUCUCUGGUCUGUAACUGACGCUGAGGAGCGAAAGCGUGGGUAGCGAACAGGAUUAGAUACCCUGGUAGUCCACGCCGUAAACGAUGAGUGCUAGGUGUUAGGGGGUUUCCGCCCCUUAGUGCUGAAGUUAACGCAUUAAGCACUCCGCCUGGGGAGUACGGCCGCAAGGCUGAAACUCAAAAAAUUUUGACGGA